ACAGAGGUCGCUAGCGUUGUUCGGAUUUACUGGGCGUAAAGCGUACGUAGGUGGUUCCGUGUGUCGGGUGUGAAAUCCCACAGCUCAACUGUGGAACUGCAUCCGAAACUGCGGGGCUAGAGUGCAGGAGGGGAGAGCGGAAUUCUUGGUGUAGCGGUGAAAUGCGUUGAUAUCAAGAGGAACACCGGUGGCGAAGGCGGCUCUCUGGAAUGUCACUGACACUGAGGUACGAAAGCUGGGGGAGCAAACAGG
rnacentral:rRNA from 1 species